rnacentral:rRNA from 1 species
ACUCUCGGCAACGGAUAUCUCGGCUCUUGCAUCGAUGAAGAACGUAGCGAAAUGCGAUACUUGGUGUGAAUUGCAGAAUCCUGUGAACCAUCGAGUCUUUGAACGCAAGUUGCGCCUGAAGCCAUUAGGUUGAAGGCACGUCUGCCUGGGCGUC